AUUGAACGCUGGCGGCGUGCCUAACACAUGCAAGUCGAGCGGUAACAGGUGUAGCAAUACAUGCUGACGAGCGGCGGACGGGUGAGUAACGCUUGGGAAUCUGCCUAUUAGUGGGGGACAACCCGGGGAAACUCGGGCUAAUACCGCAUACGCUCUACGGAGGAAAGCCGGGGACCGCAAGGCCUGGCGCUAAUAGAUGAGCCCAAGUCGGAUUAGCUAGUUGGAGGGUAACGGCCUACCAAGGCUACGAUCCGUAACUGGUCUGAGAGGACGACCAGUCACACCGGAACUGAGACACGGUCCGGACUCCUACGGGAGGCAGCAGUGGGGAAUCUUGCGCAAUGGGCGAAAGCCUGACGCAGCGACGCCGCGUGAGGGAUGACGGCCUGGUGUAAC
rnacentral:rRNA from 1 species